rnacentral:rRNA from 1 species
GACGAACGCUGGCGGCGUGCCUAAUACAUGCAAGUCGAGCGCAGGAAACUGACGGAACUCUUCGGAGGGAAGGCAGUGGAAUGAGCGGCGGACGGGUGAGUAACACGUAAGGAACCUGCCUAAAGGAUUGGGAUAACUCCGAGAAAUCGGAGCUAAUACCGGAUAGUUCAUCGGACCGCAUGGUCCGUUGAUGAAAGGCGCUUCGGCGUCACCUUGAGAUGGCCUUGCGGUGCAUUAGCUAGUUGGGGGGGUAACGGCCCACCAAGGCGACGAUGCAUAGCCGACCUGAGAGGGUGAUCGGCCACACUGGGACUGAGACACGGCAGACUCCUACGGGAGGCAGCAGUAGGGAAUCUUCCACAAUGGACGAAAGUCUGAUGGAGCAACGCCGCGUGAGUGAUGAAGGUUUUCGGAUCGUAAAACUCUUGUGUAAGGGAAGAACACGUCAGAGAGGAAAUGCUCGUACCUUGACGGUACCUUACGAGAAAGCCACGGCUAACUACGUGCCAGCCGCCGCCGUAA